AUUGAACGCUGGCGGCAGGCCUAACACAUGCAAGUCGAGCGGAUGAAGGUAGCUUGCUAUCUGAUUCAGCGGCGGACGGGUGAGUAAUGCCUAGGAAUCUGCCUGGUAGUGGGGGACAACGUUUCGAAAGGAACGCUAAUACCGCAUACGUCCUACGGGAGAAAGUGGGGGAUCUUCGGACCUCACGCUAUCAGAUGAGCCUAGGUACGAUUAGCUAGUUGGUGAGGUAAAGGCUCACCAAGGCGACGAUCGUUAACUGGUCUGAGAGGAUGAUCAGGCACACUGGAGCUGAGACACGGUCCAGACUCCUACGGGAGGCAGCAGUGGGGAAUAUUGGACAAUGGGCGAAAGCCUGAUCCAGCCAUGCCGCGUGUGUGAAGAAGGUCUUCGGAUUGUAAAGCACUUUAAGUUGGGAGGAAGGGCAGUAAGUUAAUACCUUGCUGUUUUGACGUUACCGACAGAAUAAGCACCGGCUAACUUCGUGCCAGCCGCCGCAGUAAAAC
rnacentral:rRNA from 1 species